ACGAGCUGUAUGCAGGGAAACUUGCACGUACAGUUCUUCGGGGGCCCUAUGUCCGGGAGGACAUGGGGCUACCCUCU
rnacentral:ncRNA from 1 species